rnacentral:rRNA from 1 species
CAGCCGCCACGGGAAUACGAAGGGUGCAAGCGUUACUCGGAAUUACUGGGCGUAAAGCGUGCGUAGGUGGUGGUUUAAGUACGUUGUGAAAGCCCUGGGCUCAACCUGGGAAUUGCAGUGGAUACUGGGUCACUAGAGUGUGGUAGAGGAUAGUGGAAUUUCCGGUGUAGCAGUGAAAUGCGUAGAGAUCGGAAGGAACACCUGUGGCGAAGGCGACUAUCUGGGCCAACACUGACACUGAGGCACGAAAGCGUGGGGAGCAAACAGGAUUAGAUACCCCAGUAGUCCCUGUCUCUUAUAC